rnacentral:lncRNA from 1 species
GCGUACAUCCUUGCCCUCAGGUUUCUCCCAGACUCCACUCUCUCCAUUGCAGGUUCCUCUUGGACAGCGUUGAAUUCCCAGAUGUCAAACUGACCGAGGCUAGACCGAGUCGGCGUACGAGUUGGAGUUGAAGGAGAGCUGCAAAAACCGGGUCGGAGUGUGGAACCACGUGGAGAACUGAAACCCGAUCCCAUUUGCAGGCCCCAGGAACAAGCACCAUUCAUUUUAGACUUACCCAGCUGCAAACUUCGCAUAGAAGCAGCAAGUUCACUCACCGAGUUAAAUGAGCCACUGGGUGACAUAGGAGGUGACUCAGAAGGUGGGGAUAUCGGAGGUGAAGCCAGAAUAGAAGUUGGUGAAGAAACAAACUCUAGACGAUGGCGCAUGGGCGAAACAACAUAAUCCAAAUCAGCUGAAGCGGACCCAUUUCCUCUCGGACUCUGCUGCGGCAACACCCGAAGCUGCUCCGGUGUGUGAGCGAAAA